UACGUAGGGUGCAAGCGUUUAAUCGGAAUUACUGGGCGUAAAGCGUGCGCAGGCGGUGAUGUAAGACAGGUGUGAAAUCCCCGGGCUUAACCUGGGAAUGGCAUUUGGGACUGCAAGGCCGGAGUGCGGCAGAGGAGACUGGAAUUCCUGGUGUAGCAGUGAAAUGCGUAGAUAUGUGGAGGAACACCGAUGGCGAAGGCAGGUCUCUGGGCCACUACUGACGCUGAGAAGCGAAAGCGUGGGGAGCGAACAGG
rnacentral:rRNA from 1 species